CCUACGGGUGACAGCAGUGAGGAAUAUUGGUCAAUGGCCGCGAGUCUGAACCAGCCAAGUCGCGUGAAGGAUGACGGCCCUAUGGAUUGUAAACUUCUUUUAUCUGGGAGUAAAGUGCGCCACGUGUGGUGUUUUGCGUGUACCUGAUGAAUAAGGAUCGGCUAACUCCGUGCCAGCAGCCGCGGUAAUACGGAGGAUCCGAGCGUUAUCCGGAUUUAUUGGGUUUAAAGGGUGCGUAGGCGGAAUGUUAAGUCAGGUGUUAAACUUUGGGGCUCAACCGUAACCUUGCAGUUGAAACUGGCGGUCUUGAGUGAAGGAGAGGGAGGCGGAAUGCGUGGUGUAGCGGUGAAAUGCAUAGAUAUCACGCAGAACUCCGAUUGCGAAGGCAGCUUACUGGCGUGCAACUGACGCUCAUGCACGAAAGCGUGGGUAUCGAACAGGAUUAGAUACCCGUGUAGUC
rnacentral:rRNA from 1 species